UUGCAGUUAUAAAGCUCGUAGUUGGAUUUCUGCGGGGGCGGGGCGGCCGGUUGCUUAUAGCAACUCGAGCUAGCACUUCCCCCGCAUCCUGCCGCGAACCGUGCUACCAUUAGUUUGGUGGCGCUGGGGAUCGGCUCGUUUACUUUGAGAAAAAUAGAGUGGUCAAAGCAGGCCACACGCCUUGAAUAAGUUAGCAUGGAAUAAUGAUAAAGGACUUCGGUUCUAUUUUGUUGGUAUUCGGGACUGAAGUAAUGAUUGAUAGGGACAGUUGGGGCGGUCAGUAUUCCAAAGCGAGAGGUGAAAUUCUUAGACCUUCGGAAGACUAACAGCUGCGAAAGCGUUCCGCAAGGAUGUUCCCUUUGAUCAAGAACGAAAGUUGGGGGAUCGAAGACGAUCAGAUACCGUCGUAGUCUCAACUAUAAACUAUACCAGCUAGGGAUCGGCCGACGUUUACUUAUAUCGACUCGGUCGGCACCUUAUGAGAAGUCAAAGCAUCUGGGUUCCGGGGGGAGUAUGGU
rnacentral:rRNA from 1 species